AGUGUAGGCGGCUACCUAAGUCGGAUGUGAAAGCCCUGGGCUCAACCUGGGAAUUGCAUUCGAAACUGAGUAGCUAGAGUUUGGUAGAGGUAAGUGGAAUUCCGGGUGUAGCGGUGAAAUGCGUAGAUAUCCGGAGGAACAUCAGUGGCGAAGGCGGCUUACUGGACCAAAACUGACGCUGAGGCUCGAAAGCGUGGGGAGCAAACAGGAUUAGAUACCCUGGUAGUCC
rnacentral:rRNA from 1 species